CUAACCUGCCCACUGAUUUAUUAAAGGGCCGCGGUAUACUGACUGUGCAAAGGUAGCAUAAUCAUUUGUCUUUUAAUUGAAGGCUGGAAUGAAUGGUUGAAUGAAGUAUUAACUGUCUCAUUUUUAAAAGUAUAAAAAUUUAAUUUUUUAGUCAAAAAGCUAAAAUAAAUUUAGAGGACGAGAAGACCCUAUAGAUCUUUAUAAUUUAAAUUUAUAAGUAAUUAUGGAAUAAAAAACAAUUUAUAAAAUUAUAUUAUUUAGUUGGGGUGACAGGAAAAUUUAAUAAACUAUUUUUAUAUAAAACCAAUAAUUUUUGAAUAAUUGAUCCUUUAUUAUUGAUUAAAAAAUUAAGUUACCUUAGGGAUAACAGCGUAAUUUUUUUAGAGAGUUCAUAUCGAUAAAAAAGAUUGCGACCUCGAUGUUGAAUUAAAGAU
rnacentral:rRNA from 1 species